AUUUACAGCACAUGUUCCAAUAACAUGUAUGUAUCUUCUAAGUCUGAAUAGAAAUUGUCAUCUUCAUGAUUUUAGAAUGUCCUGACGGUAGAUUUGGCCUUAAUUGUCUACAUGAAUGCCACUGUCAGAAUCUGGAGCCCUGUGACAAACACACAGGCAAAUGUACUCAUUGCUAUGAUGGUUGGAUCGGAAAGGCAUGUCAACAAAGUAAGUCAUACAUAUAAAUUCUAUUUGAUGGAAAACAUGCACAAAACAUUAUUUAUUUAUUUUGUUGAAGAUAAUACUGUAAAAGCAGAAAUUUUCGUGGAGGAUCUAAUUUCGUUUAUUUCAAGGAAAGAAUAUAUCCACGAAAUUAAGACCCCCACUAGUAUAUAAGAAGUAAAAAAAAACUUUUUUUUUAUAGUAUUUCUUGUUUGUUUAUGACAGCCUCAUUUAGUUUUGUAUUUAUAAAAACGAAUUUUACAACACAUUUUAUACAAGGUCUAUACAUACAUGUGAGAUAGAUAAAUCUAUAAUUAAAAAAACUUAUUAGUUAUAAUUGAACAGUUUUCAAAUACUUCAUCUAUAAAUAGAUCCACCAGAAAACAUUAAUUUUACUCUUUUAUAUAUUUAUUGACAGAAUGUGAAGUUGGUAGAUAUGGAACUAAUUGUAAUAAGACUUGUUUGAAAUGUAAAGAAAAUUUGUGUGAUCAUGAGACAGGACAAUGUCUGCAUGGAUGCAAAACAGGCUGGGAAGGAUACCUUUGUAAUACAAGUAGGUACAGUAGCGUACAAAUGUUAGAACAAUAAAUAAUUUAUUGUAAAAGACAAGACAUGUUUUAAUGUGUCGAAUGCAAUAUUUACAAUUAUGCAUUAGUAGUAGAUUAAACAGCAGAUAAUGAGCUUAACUAUAGCUACAUUAAAGGGUCUUGAAUGGUUUAUGUCUUACUAUUCUUGCUAUGUUAAGUAACGAGAAUCAACAA
rnacentral:lncRNA from 1 species